CUCAAUUGUAAGUCGCUUUGGAUAAAAGCGUCUGCAAAAUGACUAAAUGUAAAUUUUCCCACUAUGUGAUAGUUGUCAUGGUUAUUCUUUGAAAGGGAACUCGACCUGCUAAGAAAACACAAUUGGAAGACCUUCUGGGUGACCACGCUCUGAAUCUGCUGUAGAAUCUCUCCUUUUCUGUCAGAGCCCUCAAUCCUCCUGGUAUGAGGAGUAAGGCAAUGCCACACUUUGAACAGGUGCUUGCGAGCACCAAGACUUUUUAGCAUCUUUUUUUGCUUCAGUGGUGUGAUUCCCACUCUGGUGAGUCACAGGCAGGCUUUGGUUACAGAAUAGACAGUAGACUCUCCUAAGGAAGUCAACGGGGUGAAGUAGAGUCUGGGUUCUACAGCCAGUACUUCAUAAUUCCAAAGAAGCAUGGGAGGCUGUGUCCAAUAUUAGAUUUGCGUCUGGUGAAUUGCUCAGUCUAAAAGACAUAUACUUCCACGUCUUCAUCCCUCUGUGUCACGGGAAGUUCCUAAAGUUCGCUUUUAGGGGCAAAGCAUACCAAUAUCAAGUUCUUCCCUUCAGUGAGGCACUCUCACCCACAUGUUUAUGAAAGUAAUAAAUGCAGCUCUAGCUCCGCUGCGGCUUCAGAUUACAUCAAUGAUUGGCUUAUAUUAGCUCAGUCCACACUCACAUGAAACAGUUGGGGUUAAGACUAAACACCAAGAGAGUAUGUUUUUUUCUAUCAAAAAUAAACCACUUAUCUGGGCGUGGUGUGGGAUUCGAUGAUGCAGGCACAAAUGUCUCCUGUUUGGAUCUAGUCAAUCCUCACAUUAGUCAAGUGAGUGAAAGAAGGCAGACUACCGGGAAGUAGUCGAUAUGCUCAAGCGUCACUUACCCUUCCUGGUGGCUGGAGGCGAGUCUCCGUCGUUCCUCCGUCCCGGCGUGGGUACGAGUGAGAGGGGAUGACGUCAUCAGGUGCCGCCCAACUGUGCCGUCUAAGCUCCGCCUUGCCCGCAUUCUCCACCAGUGUGACGGGAGGAGCCAACGACAGACUCAGUGGGCGUGGCGUCAGGCCUCGGAGAGGCUUUUUUAUUAAACAAAAUAAAUACAAAAUAAAGUGUCCAGGGAGAAAGUGUCCAAAUAAAAAAGGGGGAACUGGUGUCCUUGUGCUGCAGGGAAAGUGCAAGGUCAGGUAGUGUUGCAGGGGGCAGGGUCCAGGUAAGGGGCGGAGUCCGGCGGCGGCUUCUUCCGCGGCAUCUCCAUCGCUUCUUUCCUCCGGUUGUCAGAGAUUAAGGGGAUAAACGGCUCGGCAUCCUGGCCCGUCAGCCGUACACAGGUGCAGUCGUCACCUGGACUAUACGGGGGUCAUCGCCUGGACUACGUGGUCCUAGCGGCCGGCAAGCUCCUUCACGCACCCUUCCUGGACCCACGAGGACACCAGCGUGCAUGCACGGGGGAAGAGACCGGUCUCUCGAGGAGAGGCGUGUUCGGCAUUUAACAUUUAACGAUUUUUAUUAUUUAAAAUAAUAAAGUAAUACACACCUAGGAUGUCUUAAAAUAUAGUUAAGUAUAGUGGAAUUAUCAUUUUUGGGUGAAUGUAAUGGUAAAACAUGUUGCAUGAUUCAUUUUAAUAACAAGCUUGUAUCUGAACAGAAAAUUCCUACUAAUACAUAUUUAAUAAGUUAAAAAAAUAACCGUGUCCACAACAUUCUGGUGUUGUUAUGGUGACUCCUUUUCGAUUAACUUCUUUUUCUUGGUUCCCUUGGAAAUGCUGCCUCUAAAAACUGACUGAACGUAACUGGCUCUGGUGAGUUUGGGUGCGAUCAGUUGUAUCAAAUUCAUAUUCAUAAUGUCACGUUGUAGUUCAAGAGAGAAGGAGCACUAGAUGAGAAUAUAACAAAUAGUUUUUUAAUCUUCUACACUCGAAAUAAACAAUGUAGUUGCAAGCAGGCAGGCAACAAAGACGAUGAUCGGACCAACUGAAUGGAAACAAACUGGACUUAAAUACUCAAAGUAAAUUACUAAAUAAACGAGACAACUGAAGACAAUGAUACAAUUAACUGAAAUGAAAAGUAGGGCAUACAGAGCACAUGGAACAUGAAAAACAACAACAAAAAGUCCAAAGAUGUGACACAUAACCAGUCUUACAGUCAUGGUGUUUUCCUGGCUGAGCUGGCAAUUAGAUGCCUGGUUCACAUGUACCUGGCUAAUUUGAUCACAUACUCCAGACCAUAUAUUGGCAUUAUAAUAUCAAAUCAUUGUAUAUGAAUAGUAAAUAAAGAAACCACUAACCAUUGUGAAUCACGUUUUGCAGCUUUUUAUUGAAAGCAUUACACCUUGAACAUUAGUUAU